rnacentral:rRNA from 1 species
AGCAGUCGCCACGGGAAUACGGAGGGUGCAAGCGUUAAUCGGAAUUACUGGGCGUAAAGCGCACGCAGGCGGUUUGUUAAGUCAGAUGUGAAAUCCCCGAGCUUAACUUGGGAACUGCAUUUGAAACUGGCAAGCUAGAGUCUUGUAGAGGGGGGUAGAAUUCCAGGUGUAGCGGUGAAAUGCGUAGAGAUCUGGAGGAAUACCAGUGGCGAAGGCGGCCCCCUGGACAAAGACUGACGCUCAGGUGCGGAAGCGUGGGGAGCAAACAGGAUUAGAUACCCCAGUAGUCCCUGUCUCUUAUAC